rnacentral:rRNA from 1 species
AUUGAACGCUGGCGGCAGGCCUAACACAUGCAAGUCGAGCGGAGCGGCGGACGGGUGAGUAAUGCCUAGGAAUCUGCCUGGUCGUGGGGGAUAACUUCCGGAAACGGGCGCUAAUACCGCAUACUAUCAGAUGAGCCUAGGUCGGAUUAUCUAGUUGGUGGGGUAAAGGCCUACCAAGGCGACGAUCCGUAACUGGUCUGAGAGGAUGAUCAGUCACACUGGAAAUGAGAGACGGGACAGACUCCUACGGGAGGCAGCAGUGGGGAAGAUUGGACAAUGGGAGAAAGCCUGAUCCAGCCAUGCCGCGUGUGUGAAGAAGGGCUUCGGAUUGUAAAGUACUUUAAGUUGGGAGGCGGUACCAACAGAAUAAGCACCGGCUAACUUCGUGCCAGCAGCCGCGGUAAUUC